rnacentral:rRNA from 1 species
AUGAACGCUAGCUACAGGCUUAACACAUGCAAGUCGAGGGGCAGCGGGAUUGAAGCUUGCUUCAAUUGCCGGCGACCGGCGCACGGGUGAGUAACGCGUAUCCAACCUUCCGCUUACUCGGGGAUAGCCUUUCGAAAGAAAGAUUAAUACCCGAUGGUAUCUUAAGCACGCAUGAGAUUAAGAUUAAAGAUUUAUCGGUAAGCGAUGGGGAUGCGUUCCAUUAGGCAGUUGGCGGGGUAACGGCCCACCAAACCUACGAUGGAUAGGGGUUCUGAGAGGAAGGUCCCCCACAUUGGAACUGAGACACGGUCCAAACUCCUACGGGAGGCAGCAGUGAGGAAUAUUGGUCAAUGGGCGAGAGCCUGAACCAGCCAAGUAGCGUGAAGGAUGACGGCCCUACGGGUUGUAAACUUCUUUUGUGCGGGAAUAAAGGAACCUACGUGUAGGUUUUUGCAUGUACCGUAACGAAUAAGCAUCGGCUAACUCCGUGCCAGCAGCCGCGGUAAUACGGAGGAUGCGAGCGUUAUCCGGAUUUAUUGGGUUUAAAGGGAGCGUAGACGGGUUUUUAAGUCAGCUGUGAAAGUUUGGGGCUCAACCUUAAAAUUGCAGUUGAAACUGGAGACCUUGAGUACGGUUGAGGCAGGCGGAAUUCGUGGUGUAGCGGUGAAAUGCUUAGAUAUCACGAAGAACCCCGAUUGCGAAGGCAGCCUGCUAAGCCGCCACUGACGUUGAGGCUCGAAAGUGCGGGUAUCAAACAGGAUUAGAUACCCUGGUAGUCCGCACGGUAAACGAUGGAUACUCGCUGUUGGCGAUAGACAGUCAGCGGCCAAGCGAAAGCGUUAAGUAUUCCACCUGGGGAGUACGCCGGCAACGGUGAAACUCAAAGGAAUUGACGGGGGCCCGCACAAGCGGUGGAGUAUGUGGUUUAAUUCGACGCAACGCGAAGAACCUUACCAAGUCUUGACAUCCCUUGACGAUGCUGGAAACAGUAUUUCUCUUCGGAGCAAGGAGACAGGUGGUGCAUGGUUGUCGUCAGCUCGUGCCGUGAGGUGUCGGCUUAAGUGCCAUAACGAGCGCAACCCUUGCUGCCAGUUACUAACAGGUCAUGCUGAGGACUCUGGCAGGACUGCCAUCGUAAGAUGCGAGGAAGGUGGGGAUGACGUCAAAUCAGCACGGCCCUUACGUCCGGGGCUACACACGUGUUACAAUGGGGGGUACAGAAGGCAGCUACACGGCGACGUGAUGCUAAUCCCGAAAGCCUCUCUCAGUUCGGAUUGGAGUCUGCAACCCGACUCCACGAAGCUGGAUUCGCUAGUAAUCGCGCAUCAGCCACGGCGCGGUGAAUACGUUCCCGGGCCUUGUACACACCGCCCGUCAAGCCAUGAAAGCCGGGGGUACCUGAAGUACGUAACCGCGAGGAUCGUCCUAGGGUAAAACCGGUAAUUGGGGCU